rnacentral:rRNA from 1 species
CGUGCAGCACAGUAAAGAGCUUGCUCUUAUGGGUGGCGAGUGGCGGACGGGUGAGGAAUACAUCGGAAUCUACCUUUUCGUGGGGGAUAACGUAGGGAAACUUACGCUAAUACCGCAUACGACCUUCGGGUGAAAGCAGGGGACCUUCGGGCCUUGCGCGGAUAGAUGAGCCGAUGUCGGAUUAGCUAGUUGGCGGGGUAAAGGCCCACCAAGGCGACGAUCCGUAGCUGGUCUGAGAGGAUGAUCAGCCACACUGGAACUGAGACACGGUCCAGACUCCUACGGGAGGCAGCAGUGGGGAAUAUUGGACAAUGGGCGCAAGCCUGAUCCAGCCAUACCGCGUGGGUGAAGAAGGCCUUCGGGUUGUAAAGCCCUUUUGUUGGGAAAGAAAAGCAAUCGAUUAAUACUCGGUUGUUCUGACGGUACCCAAAGAAUAAGCACCGGCUAACUUCGUGCCAGCAGCCGCGGUAAUACGAAGGGUGCAAGCGUUACUCGGAAUUACUGGGCGUAAAGCGUGCGUAGGUGGUUGUUUAAGUCUGUUGUGAAAGCCCUGGGCUCAACCUGGGAAUUGCAGUGGAUACUGGGCGACUAGAGUGUGGUAGAGGGUAGUGGAAUUCCCGGUGUAGCACUGAAAUGCGUAGAGAUCGGGAGGAACAUCCAUGGCGAAAGCAGCUACCUGGACCAACACUGACGCUGAGGCACGAAAACGUGGGGAGCAAACACGAUAUAACCCGCCGGGGAAAAAAACGG